CAACCAAACGUCACUUCCGCUCUGAGGAGAAUCGGGUGUACGGUGCUCAGCCUGUCCCGCGGCGCUUCCGCCCUCUCGAGCCCAGGCUGCAGAGCAACAUCCAUGUUUUGCUCCAGCUCAGUCCAUCCUUCCAGGGACCAGAAAAGGGAAAUGGCUGCAAUGGAGCCAGUCAAGGGGCCAGUGACCUUCGAGGAGGUGGCUGUGUAUUUCACC